CGCGUGAGUGAAGAAGGCCUUCGGGUUGUAAAGCUCUUUCGGCCGGGAAGAAAUCGUGGUCUCUAACAUAGGCCAUGGAUGACGGUACCGGACUAAGAAGCACCGGCUAACUACGUGCCAGCAGCCGCGGUAAUACGUAGGGUGCGAGCGUUAAUCGGAAUUACUGGGCGUAAAGCGUGCGCAGGCGGUUUUGUAAGACAGAUGUGAAAUCCCCGGGCUUAACCUGGGAACUGCGUUUGUGACUGCAAGGCUAGAGUACGGCAGAGGGGGGUGGAAUUCCUGGUGUAGCAGUGAAAUGCGUAGAGAUCAGGAGGAACACCGAUGGCGAAGGCAGCCCCCUGGGCCUGUACUGACGCUCAUGCACGAAAGCGUGGGGAGCAAACAGGAUUAGAUACCCUGGUAGUCCACGCCCUAAACGAUGUCGACUAGUCGUUCGGAGCAGCAAUGCACUGAGUGACGCAGCUAACGCGUGAAGUCGACCGCCUGGGGAGUACGGCCGCAAGGUUAAAAACUCAAAGGAAUUGACGGG
rnacentral:rRNA from 1 species